CGCGGCCUAUCAGCUUGUUGGUGAGGUAACGGCUCACCAAGGCAUCGACGGGUAGCUGGUCUGAGAGGACGGUCAGCCACACUGGGACUGAGACACGGCCCAGACUCCUACGGGAGGCAGCAGUGGGGAAUCUUGCGCAAUGGGCGAAAGCCUGACGCAGCCACGCCGCGUGAGGGAUGAAGGCUUUCGGGUUGUAAACCUCUUUCAGCAGGGACGAAAAUGACGGUACCUGCAGAAGAAGGUCCGGCCAACUACGUGCCAGCAGCCGCGGUAACACGUAGGGACCGAGCGUUGUCCGGAUUUAUUGGGCGUAAAGAGCUCGUAGGCGGUUCAGUAAGUCAGGUGUGAAAGUCCAAGGCUCAACCUUGGAACGCCACUUGAUACUGCUGUGACUAGAGUCCGGUAGAGGAGUGUGGAAUUCCUGGUGUAGCGGUGAAAUGCGCAGAUAUCAGGAGGAACACCGACGGCGAAGGCAGCACUCUGGGCCGGUACUGACGCUGAGGAGCGAAAGCAUGGGGAGCGAACAGGAUUAGAUACCCUGGUAGUCCAUGCCGUAAACGUUGGGCACUAGGUGUGGGGCCUUAUCAACGGGUUCCGUGCCGUAGCUAACGCAUUAAGUGCCCCGCCUGGGGAGUACGG
rnacentral:rRNA from 1 species